UACGGAGGAUGCGAGCGUUAUCCGGAUUCAUUGGGUUUAAAGGGUGCGCAGGCGGGCGUAUAAGUCAGGGGUGAAAUGCCACGGCUCAACCGUGGAACUGCCUUUGAUACUGUAUGUCUUGAGUUUAGUUGAAGUGGGCGGAAUGUAGCAUGUAGCGGUGAAAUGCAUAGAGAUGCUACAGAACACCGAUAGCGAAGGCAGCUCACUAAGUUAAGACUGACGCUCAUGCACGAAAGCGUGGGGAUCAAACAGGAUUAGAUACCCUGGUAGUCCACGCUGUAAACGAUGAUCACUCGUUGUUGGCGAUAUACCGUCAGCGGCCAAGCGAAAGUGAUAAGUGAUCCACCUGGGGAGUACGAUCGCAAGGUUGAA
rnacentral:rRNA from 1 species